AUACCUUUCUCGGCCUUUUGGCUAAGAUCUAGUAUCUGUUCUUAUCAGUUUAAUAUCUGAUAUGUGGGUCAUCGGUUCACACGAUAUUAACUCUAUUUUUUAAGGGAGAAAACCCGUUAAGAUAGUUUGCUAUCUGGGCUUCCACGAGAAAGGUAUAACCCUGCAUGGGCCUGGCUCAACCCGC
rnacentral:snRNA from 1 species